AUGGAUUUGGAUCUGUGGAUCGUCAAGGUCAAGGAGGGGCAGCACCUCGCCGAGCACGAGCUCCAGUCCCUCUGCGAAUACGUGAAGGAGAUCCUCAUCGAGGAGUCCAACGUGCAGCCGGUCAACAGCCCCGUGACGGUGUGCGGCGACAUCCACGGCCAGUUCCACGACCUCAUGAAGCUCUUCGCCACCGGCGGCCAUGUCCCCGACACCAACUACAUAUUCAUGGGCGACUUUGUGGACCGCGGGUUCAACAGCCUUGAAGUCUUCACCAUUCUUCUGCUUCUAAAAGCUAGGUAUCCUGGCCACAUAACCCUUCUGCGUGGGAACCAUGAAAGCAGACAGUUGACACAGGUGUAUGGCUUUUAUGAUGAGUGUCAGAGGAAGUAUGGGAAUGCGAAUGCAUGGCGGUAUUGCACUGAUGUUUUUGAUUACCUUACUCUUUCAGCAAUCAUUAAUGGCACAGUCCUCUGUGUUCAUGGUGGGCUUUCACCUGAUGUACGCACAGUUGAUCAGAUGCGGACAAUUGAUCGCAACUGCGAAAUUCCUCAUGAAGGACCUUUUUGUGAUCUAAUGUGGAGUGACCCAGAAGAGAUAGAGACAUGGGGUGUUAGUCCCCGUGGAGCAGGUUGGCUUUUUGGAUCACGGGUGACAACCGAGUUUAACCAUGUUAACAAUCUUGAGUUAGUUUGUCGGGCUCAUCAACUAGUCCAGGAAGGCCUAAAGUACAUGUUCCCAGACAAGGGUCUUGUAACUGUGUGGUCUGCACCUAAUUAUUGUUACAGAUGUGGGAAUGUUGCUUCUAUACUAAGCUUCAGCGAAACUAUGGAAAGAGAUGUCAAGAUCUUCACAGAGACGGAUGAGAACAACCAGAUGCGAGGGCCGAGAAGUGCGGUCCCGUAUUUCCUUUGA
rnacentral:rRNA from 1 species